GCCGAUGGGCGUCUUACCAGACACGGUUAGAUCUGGGUUCUGUUGUCUAAUACUGUCUGGUAAUGCCGUUCAUCCAU
rnacentral:pre_miRNA from 1 species